CCUCCCUCCUCCCUUCUCCCUCUCACUUCAGUUAGUCUCUUCAGUUGGUGACAAACUGGGAUUCAGUUCUGACACUUUAUAUCAGUCAGUUGUGAGGAGAAGAAGACCUUUGCUUCUACUCUGCAACCAUCUUAGCUCAGAAGUCAGGACUGUCUUUUUUGCUUCUGGCAUACUGCUUCAUCAGGCAGCGGGCUGGCGAGAACCGAAGUAGAAACUGAAAACGUACCACCAGCCCCGAUGCUGGGUUGCUUCCUGCCGUCUGAUGCAAUAUUCCCAUAACCCAACCCAGGUGAUGGGUGGAGUUUUACAAGCUAAAAUAUAUCUGCAAUUUAUCUGAAAAGAUCGUCUCAGUGGCUUGGCCACUUGGCCUGCCAAGGGGAAUGGGGGCAACUUCUUGACCUCUUGCAGCUAAAAUCAUGUUUUUGUUCUCCCACAUCAUAGAGGGGAAAACUGAGAUCUGCCUAGGAAAUACAUGGCAGAAUUAGGUGAAAGUUAAGUGUCGGCUCACUUCCAUCAGCUCAGAGUCUGAAGCAACCGUUUGUAUUUGCCCAUGUUGAAUAGUUUCCCAUUAUGUAGGGAAGGGGAAUUCUAGAAACUUCCAGCUGGAAGGGAACUUGGAAAUCAUCUACCAUGUGAUCUUUUUUUUAAACCCCUGCCUUCUGUCUCAUAAUUGAUCCUGAGUAUCAUUUCCAAGACAGAAGAGCAAUUAGGCUUAGGAAAUUGGGAUCCACUGAGCCACCUAACUGCCCCUUACUAGAUGAUUUUAACUUGGGCAUCAUCAACCUAUUUUCUUUUUAAUAAAACUUUGAUAAUCGUAU
rnacentral:lncRNA from 1 species